UCUGUAUACAAUAUCUACAGUGAACUUCCUCUUUUUCAUAUGGUCGAUCUGUCAACAUUCAGUUUGUUUUAUGAUAAUCAUGUGACAGUUUUCAUUCACGAUCUCUGAUUUUUAUGUAUUUUUUCAUUCAGCAUCAUACGUUAUACGUUGAAUAAAAACUGACCUAAACUAGUCUUUGGCACAGUAUUGUUUAUUCUAACGGCACGAUAUGUUUUAACACCUGUAAUUGAAUAAAAAGGGAACCAAAACAUCCGAGACUAUGCAGUGAAGGUGAACAGAAAACAGCCCCUGUGUGUGAUUGCAAAGUAAAAAUUUUGUAUUAGUUCUGUAUGAAACAUGUAUACUAUACUUCUGUAUUUAUUAACAUUUAAUAUUGCCUACAAUACAGCAAUACUUGUAUAGAUUUCAUUUUCGUUCUUUAGUGACUACCAAAGGAGUUGAUGGCACAGGUAUAGCAAACAGAUCAAUUGUUGGCGGGACCCUGAGAAUUG